rnacentral:rRNA from 1 species
GUGGGGAAUCUUCCGCAAUGGACGAAAGUCUGACGGAGCAACGCCGCGUGAACGAUGACGGCCUUCGGGUUGUAAAGUUCUGUUAUACGGGACGAAUGGUACGACGGCCAAUACCCGUCGUAAGUGACGGUACCGUAAGAGAAAGCCACGGCUAACUACGUGCCAGCAGCCGCGGUAAUACGUAGGUGGCAAGCGUUGUCCGGAAUUAUUGGGCGUAAAGGGCGCGCAGGCGGCGUCGUAAGUCGGUCUUAAAAGUGCGGGGCUUAACCCCGUGAGGGGACCGAAACUGCGAUGCUAGAGUAUCGGAGAGGAAAGCGGAAUUCCUAGUGUAGCGGUGAAAUGCGUAGAUAUUAGGAGGAACACCAGUGGCGAAAGCGGCUUUCUGGACGACAACUGACGCUGAGGCGCGAAAGCCAGGGGAGCAAACGGGAUUAGAAACCCCUGUAGUCC